rnacentral:pre_miRNA from 1 species
UAUAUACUCCCUCCGUCUGGAAAUACUUGUCAUCAAAAUGGAUAAAAGGGAUGUAUCUAGAUGUAUUUUAGUUUUAGAUACAUCCCUUUUUGUCCAUUUUGAUGACAAGUAUUUUCGGACGGAGGGAGUAUAAU